ACAUGCCACUAUGCCUGGAUAAUUUAUGUUUUAUUAUUUCAUUUUAUUUUUUGCAGAGAUGGCAUCUUGCUACGUUGCCCAGGCUGAUCCUGAACUUCUGGACUCAAGUGAUCCUCCCACCUCAGCCUCUCAAAAUGCUGCGGUUGCAGGCACGAGUCACUGUGCCUAGCCUACCCCCCACUUUUAGAUGGGGGUUUCUCUUGGGGAAUAACCUACCUCCAUCUCAUUAUGGAUGUGAGAAGGAAGCAGUCUAUAACCUGGAAGAGGAGGACCCUCACCAGAACCUCACCAUGUCGCCACCCUGAUCUCAGGUUUCCAGCCUCCAGAAGCAUGAGAACAGCUCACUUUUACACAAAAGUUCCAGAAACUAAGUCUUGAAACAAUACAGGCACCUGUGGAAAUGUCCCUGACCAGGAGAUUGCUUCAAGGAUGCAGUUAAUUCACAAUCCAAUCAAGCCCGAGAUGAUGCCACCCCAGUCACCAGAGGAGUCACUAACUCAAGAGGAGACAUUGGAACAAGUCACAUAGACCUGCACAGCCUCGCCCCCUGCGUGUCUUCCAUGCCAAAGCUUCCCCUUCUUUAGCUGUUGUAUUUUGCUUGGAAAUUUGAAGCGGUUCCAUUAGGCAAGAAAAGAGGCAAAGCUCUCUUUUCCCCACUGAGAGCUUUGGUUUAUAAUAAAGUCAUUCUCCUUCUACCA
rnacentral:lncRNA from 13 species